UCAAGCGAGUGGCGAACGGGUGAGUAACACGUGGAUAACCUGCCUCAAGGCUGGGGAUAACAUUUGGAAACAGAUGCUAAUACCGAAUAAAACUUAGUAUCGCAUGAUACAAAGUUGAAAGGCGCUACGGCGUCACCUAGAGAUGGGUCCGCGGUGCAUUAGUUAGUUGGUGGGGUAAAGGCCUACCAAGACAAUGAUGCAUAGCCGAGUUGAGAGACUGAUCGGCCACAUUGGGACUGAGACACGGCCCAAACUCCUACGGGAGGCUGCAGUAGGGAAUCUUCCACAAUGGGCGAAAGCCUGAUGGAGCAACGCCGCGUGUGUGAUGAAGGCUUUAGGGUCGUAAAGCACUGUUGUAUGGGAAGAAAUGCUAGAAUAGGGAAUGAUUCUAGUUCGACGGUACCAUACCAGAAAGGGACGGCUAAAUACGUGCCAGCAGCCGCGGUAAUACGUAUGUCCCGAGCGUUAUCCGGAUUUAUUGGGCGUAAAGCGAGCGCAGACGGUUGAUUAAGUCUGAUGUGAAAGCCCGGAGCUCAACUCCGGAAUGGCAUUGGAAACUGGUUAACUUGAGUGUUGUAGAGGUAAGUGGAACUCCAUGUGUAGCGGUGGAAUGCGUAGAUAUAUGGAAGAACACCAGUGGCGAAGGCGGCUUACUGGACAACAACUGACGUUGAGGCUCGAAAGUGUGGGUAGCAAACAGGAUUAGAUACCCUGGUAGUCCACACCGUAAACGAUGAAUACUAGGUGUUAGGAGGUUUCCGCCUCUUAGUGCCGAAGCUAACGCAUUAAGUAUUCCGCCUGGGGAGUACGACCGCAAGGUUGAAACUCAAAGGAAUUGACGGGGACCCGCACAAGCGGUGGAGCAUGUGGUUUAAUUCGAAGCAACGCGAAGAACCUUACCAGGUCUUGACAUCCUUUGAAGCUUUUAGAGAUAGAAGUGUUCUCUUCGGAGACAAAGUGACAGGUGGUGCAUGGUCGUCGUCAGCUCGUGUCGUGAGAUGUUGGGUUAAGUCCCGCAACGAGCGCAACCCUUAUUGUUAGUUGCCAGCAUUCAGUUGGGCACUCUAGCGAGACUGCCGGUGACAAACCGGAGGAAGGCGGGGACAACGUCAGAUCAUCAUGCCCCUUAUGACCUGGGCUA
rnacentral:rRNA from 1 species